UACGGAGGGGGCGAGCGUUAUUCGGAAUUAUUGGGCGUAAAGGGCGCGUAGGCGGCUCGAUAAGUCAAAGGUGAAAUCCCUCGGCUCAACUGAGGAACUGCCUUUGAUACUGUAGAGCUUGAGUCCGGGAGGGGGUAGCGGAAUUCCCAGUGUAGCGGUGAAAUGCGUAGAUAUUGGGAGGAACACCAGUGGCGAAGGCGGCUACCUGGACCGGAACUGACGCUGAGGCGCGAAAGCGUGGGUAGCAAACAGG
rnacentral:rRNA from 1 species